rnacentral:rRNA from 1 species
GAUUGCGAGCGCAGCUACCAUGCAGUCGAGCGGCAGCGGGAAGUAGUUUGCUACUUUGCCGGCGAGCGGCGGACGGGUGAGAAGUGUCUGGAAAACUGCCUGAUGGAGGGGGAUAACUACUGGAAACGGUAUCUAAUACCGCAUAGCGUCGCAAGACCAAAGAGGGGGACCUUCGGGUCUCUUGCCAUCAUAUGUGCCCAGAUGGUAUUAGCUAGUAGGUGGGGUAGGGGCUCCCCUAGGACACUAUCCCUAGCUGGUCUGAGAGGAUGACCAGCCACUCUGGAUCUGACACACGGUCCACACUCCUACGGGGGGCAGCAGUGGGGAAUAUUGCACAGUGGGCGCAAGCGUGAUGCACCCGUGCCGCGUGUAAGAAAAAGGUCUUCGGUUUGAAAAGUAUUUUCCGCGGGGAGGAGGGUGUUGAGGUUAAUAACCUCAAAUAUUGACUUUACCCGCAAAAAAAGCCCCGGAUAACUCCGCGCCAGCCCCCGCUGUAAUACAGAGGGUGCAAGCGUAUAUCAAAAUUACUGGGCGUAAAGCGCACGCAGGCGGUCUGUCAAGUCAGAUGUAAAACCCGCGGGCUCACCCUGGAAUCUGUUUUCGACACUGGCAUGCUAGAGUCUUGUAGAGGGGGGUAAAUUUCCGUGUGUAGCGGAGAAGUGCAUAGAGAUGUGGAGGAAUACCUGUGGCAAAUGCGGCCCCGUGGACAAAGACAGACUCUCAUGUGCUAAAGCGUGGAGAGCAUACAAGAUUAGAUACUCUGAUUCUCCACGCCGUACACUAUGUCCUCUUGGAUUUUGUGCCCUUGACGCGUGUCUUCCAGAUCUCACGUGUAAACUCCCACCGCCUGGAGAGCACGCCCGCUGUUUAACACUAAUGUGUUUUACACGGGGGCCCCCCACGAAUGGCAGAUCAUGUGUUUAUAUUCCGAUGCACGCGAAUAACCUUCACCUACUCUGGAUCUACAGAAAUCUUUCCAGAGAUGGAUUGGUGCCUUCGGGAACUCUGAGACAGGUGCUGCAUGGCUGUCGUCAGCUCGUGUUGUGAAAUGUUGGGUUAAGUCCCGCAACGAGCGCAACCCUUAUCCUUUGUUGCCAGCGGUUCGGCCGGGAACUCAAAGGAGACUGCCAGUGAUAAACUGGAGGAAGGUGGGGAUGACGUCAAGUCAUCAUGGCCCUUACGAGUAGGGCUACACACGUGCUACAAUGGCGCAUACAAAGAGAAGCGACCUCGCGAGAGCAAGCGGACCUCAUAAAGUGCGUCGUAGUCCGGAUUGGAGUCUGCAACUCGACUCCAUGAAGUCGGAAUCGCUAGUAAUCGUAGAUCAGAAUGCUACGGUGAAUACGUUCCCGGGCCUUGUACACACCGCCCGUCACACCAUGGGAGUGGGUUGCAAAAGAAGUAGGUAGCUUAACCUUCGGGAGGGCGCUUACCACUUUGUGAUUCAUGACUGGGGUGAAGUCGAACAAGACUUCUCUAC